rnacentral:lncRNA from 1 species
GGAAUGAUUUGUGUCAAAUCAGGUGAGUACUUUUUUUUUUUUUUAAUUUAUAUGCCGUGCUGUUCACAAGCUAAAUUCUCAUUGAUUUAGCUUCUCUCUUCCUCCUUCCAUUUAACUGGGAUACACCCUUGUGGCAAAUCUUCUAUGAAUAAAAUUGUCAAUCUCUCCUAGGAAUGACUCAAUCUAUGUAUUUGUAAGCUUCAAGUAUGAGUGUGGCUGGCCUAGUGGAAGGAUCUUAACCGCCAGAAUGAAAAAAAGAGGUGGAUUCCUCCACCUCAUCGUGAUUAAUACACUUUCUCAGUCUUCUCGGCCAAGAUUGGUCAAUAGUGAUGGUUAUGGCUAAUUGAAGUAUUUGCCGUAAUUCCCUGUACAUAUUCCGCUUAUAUCGCACCCACGGAAAGAAGCGUUUUGGUGGGAUAGAUGUGGAUGCAGAGUAAUCUCAUUUUGUACCCCCCUCAUCAUGUUGAUGCACCCGAUAGCCCUGUGAAGUAGGAAAGAAGUUUGUCUGGGAUUCCCAGUGUCUUCGAGACCUUCCUUAUGGCACUCACUGCAUUCUACUGAAAUUUAUUAUUCAUUAUCUGCCUUCCCAGCUGUAUCAUGGCGUUGUGCAAAGUGACCUUCUUUAUGGCUUUAAACAAGAACACCACAUGGCCAUUUAUGCAUGGAUGAACUUGGGAAUGCCUACCAUUUAUAAAGGAGCUUUUACCAUUGGAAAAACUGGAAGACCACUACAAAAUUCAAGAGAAAAGUGAGGCAACAUAGGCACCUGGAGUUAGAAAGUGUAAUGGGCUGAAUGGUGGCCUCAAAGAUAUCAGGUCCAAAUUCCUGGAAGCUGUAAAUGUUACCUUAUUUGGAAAAAGGAUCUCUGGAGAUGUUAUUAAAUUAAGGAUUUUGAGAUGAGGAGAUAAUCCUGGAUCAUCCACUUGUGGGCUAUCACAAGUGUCCUUGUAAGAGAGAGGUAGAGGGAAUUUGACACACAUGCACACGCACACACACACACACACACACACACAGGAGAAGCCAGUGGGAAGAUGGAGGUAGAGAUUCAAGUUCCGUGGCCACAAGCCAUGGAACUGCUGGCCUCACCAGAGGCUGGACGAGGUAAAGGAAUGGAUUCUCACCUGGGCCUCUGGAGGGAGUGUGGCCCUGCUGACACCUAGAUUUCAGACUUUUGGCUUCCAGAACUGUGACAGAAUAAGUUUCUGUUGUCUUAAGGCAUCAAGUUUGUGGUAAUUUGUUACGACUGCCGUGGAAAGUAAUAUAGAAAGAACUAUGAUUUUUUCAUUGCAUUCAUUUCUCUGUGGCUCUUCUCAUACUUAGGGUGGUAAUGACUUAACAGCCAAUCAAUAGCCAAAAUCAGGAUUAGCUAUUGAGGAAAGAGGCCAAGGGAAAGUCUGUGGGCUUAUUCCUUUUACGAGGUUUUAGUUGUAAAGUCUUGGCUAGUAAUGAAAAAUGCAUUUGCUUAGAAAAUUCUGAGGUUAGAAGACACUUCUGAGAAACCCAAUGCAAUUUAGGGUAAUUGGAGGCAGGGCUCAGGGUAUCUUUAAUUUUUCCAACAGCAAUAAGACCUCAUGUAUAUAACGUGUAUAUAAAGGGGAUCGGAUAUUGAACUACUCCAGGUCUUAGGAUAAUAGGUAACAAAUCAGAUAGAAUGGUCAGUCCUCACUAGGUGGGUGAUAUUUGGGCAGAGAAUUGAAUAAGGUGGGAAUGCAAACCCAGGAAGAAAUGAGUUCCAGGCAGAGGGAACUGUAGCCACAAGAGCCCUGAGUCAGGAAGUGCUUUGGCUUGUUCAAGAAAUAGCAAGAAGGCCAAAAAUUGUGGGACUCAGUGAAGAUGUUAUAUUAUUUGGUGCACAUAGGUUUAUGAUUAUUGCAUUUUCUUUGGAAAAUAUGUCUUCUAGCAUUACUUUAUAUUCCUCUUCCUUCUUUUAUUAUUUUAACCUUAAAUUCCACCUUGUCUGGUGUUAACUUUGACUUUCCUUGUUGGUCUAUCUUUGCCCAUCCCUUUAUUUUCAAUUAAUAAAAAGUCACUUUGUUCAAACCGUAUUUCUUGU